AGGUGAGACAAUGACAACUCAGCACUCAUUAUUCUGGAGAGAAACCUGGCCCUCUUCAUAAACAAAGCAACUGAGAAAAGAAAAGGCCAUGAAUGAAGAAUUUUCUAUCAUUACCAUAACCAAUGCCCCCAUUCAUUAACAUUUUUAGAAUAAAAAAAUUAAAAUUAAA